AGCGAACGCUGGCGGAAUGCUUAACACAUGCAAGUCGCACGGGGGCUUCGGCUCGAGUGGCGGACGGGUGAGUAACGCGUAGGAACGUGUCUUGGGGUGGGGGAUAACGCUGGGAAACUGGCGCUAAUACCGCAUAUGGGCUGAGGCCCAAAGCCUUCGGGUGCCUUGAGAGCGGCCUGCGUCCGAUUAGCGAGUUGGUGGGGUAACUGCUUACCAAGGCGACGAUCGGUAGCUGGUCUGAGAGGACGAUCAGCCACACUGGGACUGAGACACGGCCCAGACUCCUACGGGAGGCAGCAGUGGGGAAUAUUGGACAAUGGGCGGAAGCCUGAUCCAGCAAUUCCGCGUGGGUGAAGAAGGUCUUCGGGUCGUAAAGCCCUUUCGACAGGGACGAUGAUGACGGUACCUGUAGAAGAAGCCCCGGCUAACUUCGUGCCAGCAGCCGCCGUAAUAC
rnacentral:rRNA from 1 species